AGUGUAGGCGGGAUCGUAAGUUAGGAGUUUAAUACAUGGGCUUAACCCAUGAGCUGCUUUUAAUACUGCGGUUCUUGAGUAUGGGAGAGGGUGAUGGAAUUCCAGGUGUAGCGGUGGAAUGCGUAGAUAUCUGGAAGAACACCAGUAGCGAAGGCGGUCGCCUGGCCCAAUACUGACGCUGAUGCUCGAAAGCUAGGGGAGCAAACAGGAUUAGAUACCCUGGUAGUCCUAGCCGUAAACGAUGGACACUAGUUGCUGGAGGAGUCAAUCCUUUCGGUGACGAAGCUAACGCAUUAAGUGUCCCGCCUGGGGAGUACGUUCGCAAGGAUGAA
rnacentral:rRNA from 1 species